AUGCCCUCUCCCUUCCUUCCCGCCGGUGCUGCCAUGGCUUCAACCCUCGCCGCCCUUCCCCCCGGGCUCCCACCGUCGCCACCUCCAAUCCAGACCCCUCAUCGCCACUUCAACCCACGGAUGCCAAACCUGCAGGCGCUCUCGUCCGAAACCCCCUCCGCCUCCGCCAUGGCGUCGCUCCUCGCCGCCGCCGCGCGCGCCGGCGACCUCCGCCUCGGCCGCGCGCUCCACCGCCGCCUCCUCGGCGCCGAGAUCCUCGACACCGACGCCUUGGUCGCCAACUCGCUCCUCACCAUGUACUCCAAGUGCGGCCACGUGAGCGCCGCGCGCAGGGUGUUCGACGGAAUGCGCGGCCUGCGGGACCUCGUGUCCUGGACGGCAAUGGCCUUCUGCCUCGCGCGAAACGGCGCGGAGCAGGAGGCCCUGCUCCUCCUCGGCGAGAUGCUCGAGUCGGGGCUCCGGCCCAACGCGUUCACGCUCUGCGCAGCCGCUCGUGCCUGCUUUCCGGGGGAGCUCUUUCGCCUGUCUGGCGCCGCGGUCCUUGGGUUUGUGCUCAAGACGGGGUUCUGGGGCACUGACGUGUCGGUGGGCUGCGCCUUGAUUGAUAUGUUCGCCAGGAACGGAGACCUGGUGGCAGCACGGAAGGUGUUUGAUGGGUUGGUUGAGAGGACAGUGGUCGUCUGGACUCUGAUGAUUACACGGUAUGUGCAAGGCGGGUGUGCAGGCAAGGCGGUUGAAUUAUUUCUUGGCAUGCUAGAAAAUGGUUUUGAGCCCGACGGAUACACCAUGAGCAGCAUGAUUUCGGCAUGUGCAGAGCAAGGAUCAGUCAGAUUCGGGCAGCAACUGCAUUCUCUAGUACUACGGCUGGGGCUGGUUUCUGAUACUUGUGUGAGCUGUGGACUUGUGGACAUGUACGCAAAAUUACAAAUGGAACAGUCCAUGGAAUGUGCAAGGAAAGUCUUCAAACGAAUGCCCACACAUAACGUCAUGUCAUGGACAGCACUGAUAUCAGGAUAUGUGCAAUGUGGAGCACAGGAAAACAAUGCAAUAGAACUCCUCUGCGAAAUGUUAAAUGAGAGCAUUGAACCAAACCACAUCGCAUAUUCUAGUCUUCUUAAGGCCUGUGCAAACCUUUCUGAUCAAGAUUCAGGCAGACAGAUUCAUGCCCGUGUCAUGAAAACCAGCAUAGGGAAUGUAAACGUUGUUGGGAAUGCUCUGGUCAGCAUGUAUGCUGAAUCUGGUUGCAUGGAGGAGGCUAGAAAGGCGUUCGACCAGCUUUAUGAAAGGAACAUACUUUCCACCAGUUCUGAUAUUGGUGGAACCGAGAGCAGCAAUGCCUCUUGGAGUUCUCAGAUUGAGAGCAUGGACGUCGGAGUCAGCACCUUCACAUUUGCUAGUCUGCUUAGUGCUGCUACCACUGUAGGGUUGCCAACCAAGGGUCAGCAACUGCAUGCGCUUUCAAUCAAAGCAGGCUUUGAGUCUGAUCAAGGUAUAAGCAACUCCCUUGUUUCCAUGUAUUCUAGGUGUGGAUAUUUGGAUGAUGCUUGUCGAGCAUUUGAUGAAAUGGACGACCAUAAUGUGAUUUCAUGGACUUCAGUAAUCAGUGGCUUAGCCAAGCAUGGGCACGCGGAACGAGCGUUGUCAUUGUUUCAUGACAUGAUCUUAUCCGGUGUCAAACCAAAUGAUGUCACAUACAUUGCUGUGUUAUCCGCCUGUAGCCAUGUUGGUCUGGUGAAAAAAGGAAAGGAAUACUUCAGAUCAAUGCAGAAGGAUCACGGACUCGUACCGAGGAUGGAACAUUAUGCUUGCAUGGUGGAUCUUCUUGCACGAUCAGAUCUUGUUCAAGAAGCCCUGGAGUUCAUUAAUGAAAUGCCCUGUAAAGCGAAUGCAUUGAUUUGGAAGACUCUCCUCGGUGCUUGUAGGACUUACGAUAAUAUUGAGAUUGGUAAAAUUGCAGCCAAUCAUGUCAUAGAUCUCGAGCCGCGAGAUCCAGCUCCAUAUGUCCUUCUCUCAAACUUGUAUGCCCAUGGUGGUUUAUGGGACGAAGUCGCAAGAAUAAGGAGUCUGAUGAGACACAAGAACUUGAGUAAAGAAACUGGCUUGAGUUGGAUGCAUGUUGGAAACACGAUUCACGAGUUCAGAGCUGGUGACACCGGCCAUCCGCAAGCACAAGAGAUCUAUGCAAAGUUGUCUGCGUUGAUCAGAGAAAUUAAAGACAUUGGCUACGUACCAGACACAAGCAUCGUGCUCCAUGACAUGUCGGAUGAGCUCAAGGAGGAGUGUCUGCUCCAGCACAGUGAGAAGAUUGCUGUGGCAUUUGGUUUGAUUACUACAUCGCCAACAAAACCAAUAAGGAUCUUUAAGAAUCUCCGUGUGUGCGCAGAUUGCCAUUCUGCAAUCAAGUAUAUCUCUAAAUCCACUGGAAGGGAGGUAAUACUGAGAGAUAGCAACAGGUUCCAUAGGAUGAAAGAUGGGAAAUGCUCAUGCGGAGAGUACUGGUGA
rnacentral:rRNA from 1 species